CCUACGGGAGGCAGCAGUGAGGAAUAUUGGUCAAUGGGCGCGAGCCUGAACCAGCCAAGUCGCGUGAGGGAGGACGGCCCUACGGGUUGUAAACCUCUUUUGCCGGGGAGCAACGGGCGCCACGUGUGGCGUCACUGAGAGUACCCGGAGAAAAAGCAUCGGCUAACUCCGUGCCAGCAGCCGCGGUAAUACGGAGGAUGCGAGCGUUAUCCGGAUUUAUUGGGUUUAAAGGGAGCGUAGGUGGAUUGUUAAGUCAGUUGUGAAAGUUUGCGGCUCAACCGUAAAAUUGCAGUUGAAACUGGCAGUCUUGAGUACAGUAGAGGUGGGCGGAAUUCGUGGUGUAGCGGUGAAAUGCUUAGAUAUCACGAAGAACUCCGAUUGCGAAGGCAGCUCACUGGACUGCAACUGACACUGAGGCUCGAAAGUGUGGGUAUCAAACAGGAUUAGAUACCCGAGUAGUC
rnacentral:rRNA from 1 species